UGACAGGUCCUGUGAACAGACGCUCUCAGGAAGAUUUCAAAGCUAGAUGCCAAUUCCGAUUUCCUUUCCACCCUGAAGCCUGAAAGCUCAGCACGCCACGGAGCAAACUGACACCUGAAGGGCCAGGGGUGACACUGCUCCCGGUUCAGAGGACACAGUGGCUUCCUGGCCGCCUGCAGGGCAUCCAGGACACAGCGUCCAUCCCCUCCUGAAGUCACAAUCCACACAGAGACAAUCUGCGGAGCAGGAGGUCACGCCCUGGUCUGCAGCACCUGUGGGUUUCCAGCUGCCCCGGGGCCUCACUGUGCCACCGGAGUGGAGAGAGGUGGGCAGUGCCGCCCACAGCAUUUCCACCAUACGGAGGCAACAGACAGGGAAGUUUAAGCAUGGAGACAGUCACGCAACACUGCCAUCUUUUACCCAAAUAAAUAGUCAUCACUUUACAGUCUUGUGCCAAAGCAUUAUCCAUUAGCCAGACCACCUGAGAAAGGCAAAAGACUGCCAACAUCUGGAAACCUUGCAGCCUUUCAAGGGCGCCUAUCUGCUUAUAAAACAACGACGUGUCCAUUAUAGCUUUAGGUCUGCACUCUGUGUCUAGCUCCUAAAACUAGAGUCUGCCAGGUUCCACGCUGAUGAUGCUCAUCUUCCUGGGUACAGAACAAAGACAAGAUAAGGUCAACCAUUCUUCUGCCACCUGCCUUCCUACAAGCCUUCCCCCUGUAAGGAAAUGUGUAAAUUCUAAACCUCAUGAAAACCUGUUUGGAUAACAUCGGACAUAGACAUGUCUAUGACUUGUGUUUUUCCCCAACACACCCUCAAGCUCUGGCUUAAUAAAACUUGAUCG